CCUACGGGUGGCAGCAGUGAGGAAUAUUGGUCAAUGGACGAGAGUCUGAACCAGCCAAGUAGCGUGAAGGAUGACUGCCCUAUGGGUUGUAAACUUCUUUUAUAUGGGAAUAAAAUGUUCCACGUGUGGGAUUUUGUAUGUACUAUAUGAAUAAGGAUCGGCUAACUCCGUGCCAGCAGCCGCGGUAAUACGGAGGAUCCGAGCGUUAUCCGGAUUUAUUGGGUUUAAAGGGAGCGUAGGUGGAUUGUUAAGUCAGUUGUGAAAGUUUGCGGCUCAACCGUAAAAUUGCAGUUGAAACUGGCAGUCUUGAGUACAGUAGAGGUGGGCGGAAUUCGUGGUGUAGCGGUGAAAUGCUUAGAGAUCACGAAGAACUCCGAUUGCGAAGGCAGUUCACUGAACUGCAACUGACACUGAGGCUCGAAAGUGUGGGUAUCAAACAGGAUUAGAUACCCCAGUAGUC
rnacentral:rRNA from 1 species